CUAGUGAUUGAUUAGUUUGGUCUGGAGAAAGCUCUGUUUGGAUUAGCCGUACUGUUGUUUGUAUUGCUAAACGGAAGCGGCGAAAAUGGAUAUUAAUGGUUUGGAAGUUAUUUUAAUUUUCUUGUUUACGGUUGUCAAAGUAUUCGACUGUUUUAGUUAGACCGUUUUUUGACAAACUAGUCUUUAUUUUAUUUUAUUUUUUAACUAUACAUGAAAAGACCGUGGCACUUUCGGCUCGCUUUGUUUACACUGCAGCAGAUGGUUAACACAACAGCGUAGUUAUUUUAUACUUGUAAUGAUGGAGUCACAAUGCGAGUAUUUCAUGUAUUUUCCCGCCGCUCCAAUAUCGAGCUUGUCAGACCCCGCGGAGUACACAACUCUUCCGCGGCGAAAGCACGUCUACCUGGGGGAGAUAGUCCAGUUCCUGCUGGUGCUGCGGUCUCGGAACACAGCGGGGAGGGAUGACAGCUCCAGCGGUUUACCUUGGAAGGACCUGGCGGGUUCUCUGUCUGCUCUGGCCAGUGUGUGCGUCGCCGAAAGCCGGCAGCAGAGACCCAGCGAGUACCAAGCCGAUAACCACAGCACCUGCAGCGAGGACGACGGGGUAGAGGAGCCCGAAGAGAGGGAGUCUGGAGGGAAAAAGUCGCCGGACAGUAAAGGGACUUUCAUACAGUGCAGCCCGCACCUCAUUCACAACAGCUCGGUCAGGGAUGGGCGGCAGUCUGGGAGUGAACCGGUGAAGGCUGCUCUGGUGUUGAAUGACCAGGUGGUUUUCUGUCUCACCGUCUCGUUGGACAAGCUGCCAGUCAACACACUUAAAGCCAAGAUCAUAGUGACAGUGUGGAGUCCGGAGGAUGAGAAGGCGGAGGUGAGGGAACAUGGCUACCUGACUCUUCUGCAGCUCCGGAGUCCAAUACACACCUUCAGGCAGGACCUCAACACCUUCAAGACACAGGUCGGCACCAUCAUGCAUGUUCUCCCACCUCCCAGUGUCCAAUUUCAGCACAUGGCUGUCUCUGGAAAACACCUGACUGUCCUUAAAGUGUUGAACUGCAGCUCUCAGGAUGAGGUGUGUGUCAGAGAUGUGAAGAUCCUUCCUAACUAUAACCUGUCCUACCUCCCCGUGAUGCCCGAUGGUUCAGUUCUCAUAGUUGACAACGUCUGCCACCAAUCAGCUGAGGUCACUGUGGCUUCAUUCUAUCGGAUGGACAGCGAGUCAUCGCGUUUACCCAGCAUGCUCAGCGCCUUGGAAGAGCAGAACUUCCUGUUCCAGCUGCAGCUACAGGACACAGCAGAGGAGGACUCCAGUGAGGGUUUGGAAGUCCCGUUGGUGGCUGUGUUACAAUGGUACACUCCAACUCUGCCUCUAACAAGAUACAUCUCUAGUUGUUAUGCGCUGCCCAGUAUCCGCUUGGAUCGUCCUCGGCUGGUGAUGACAGCUUCCUGUCCUCGCGCUGUCAGGCCUCUGGAGCACUUUUGGGUAAAAUACACCCUGCUCAACAACUUGCAGGACUUCCUGGCCGUCCGUCUGAUCUGGAACUCUGACACUGAUAGAGGAGGCCAGCAGGAUCCCAGGGCCCACCCGGCAGUGGUGUGCCAGUCCCCUGUCAACAACCUGGGCAAGUGUAUGAAAGGCUCCACCCUCUCUUUCACCGUGGCCUUCCAGAUCCUCAGGACUGGACUCUUUGAGUUGAGCCAGCACAUGAAGCUGAAGCUGCAGUUCGCAGCCUCGGUGUCCACCCCCACCGUGGAGGUUGGAUCCCCGCUGAGGAACAGUCCAUCGUCAGUCAGAGAGCGGGUGGACAGACAGAGCCUGGGCCGCUCUCAGAGCUUCUCCCACCAGCCACAGCCCAGGGCUCACCACGUCAGGUCCGGCAGCGCCAUGGCAACUCAGAGCAUCCCUCCUCCUGCAGGAUCUCCAGCGGGCAGAGCCCGGCACCUGCCGCCCAGUCAAAGCCUCAUCUCACUGGACAAAAUAGCCAAGAGAGAGUGUAAGGUGUUGGUGCUGGAGCCGGUCCAAGAGGCACACAGCCGAUGACCUGGAACGGAAGAUUUGUUUACCAGAGGCACAUACAUCAGUGUUUGGUCCCUCUGUCCAGCCACCAGAGCAUCCACCCUGUGCCCUGAAGGCAACACGGCGUGCACGGAGCGAUGGAAGGAGGAGCAGAGGAACGCUGAUUGGCCAGAGAGGAGGAGGAGUGGUGAUGAGAGGACAGGGAGACAGAGCCCCCCCCCCACGGAGCCCCAAUUGGUCAUUUCAUUGGUUUAUCAUUUCAAUUUUGUUUUGGUUGUUACUUUUCUAUCAAGCCUUCAUUCCAUUUUACUAAA